rnacentral:tRNA from 1 species
GCUGAAGUAGCUCAGUUGGGAGAGUGUUAGAGUGAAGACCUAGAGGUCCCUGGUUCAAUCCCAGGCUUCGGCA